AUUGAACGCUGGCGGCAGGCCUAACACAUGCAAGUCGAACGAGUGGCGGACGGGUGCGUAAUUUCUGGGAAACUUCCCGAUGGAGGGGGAUAACUACUGGAAACGGUAGCUAAUACCGCAUACCAUCGGAUGUGCCCAGAUGGGCUUAGCUAGUAGGUGGGGUAAAGGCUCACCUAGGCGACGAUCCCUAGCUGGUCUGAGAGGAUGACCAGCCACACUGGAGCUGGAACAGAGUCAAGACUACUACGGGAGGGAGCAGUGGGGAAUAUUGCAAAAUGGGCGCAAGCCUGAUGCAGUCAUGCAGCGUGUAUGAAGACGGCCUUCGGGUUGUAAAGUACUUUCAGCGGGGAGACGUUACCCGCAGAAGAAGCACCGGCUAACUCCGUGCCAGCAGCCGCGGUAAUAC
rnacentral:rRNA from 1 species